GCCCUUAGAGUUUGAUCCUGGCUCAGGAUGAACGCUGGCGGCGUGCCUAACACAUGCAAGUCGAACGAGAACUCCUGAAUUGAGACUUCGGUUGAUUUUUAGGAAAUUCUAGUGGCGGACGGGUGAGUAACGCGUAGGCAACCUGCCCUUUACACAGGGAUAGCCACUGGAAACGGUGAUUAAAACCUGAUGAUACCAUUGUUUCACAUGUUAUGAUGGUCAAAGAUUUAUCGGUAAAGGAUGGGCCUGCGUCAGAUUAGCUAGUUGGUGAGGUAACGGCCCACCAAGGCAACGAUCUGUAGCCGACCUGAGAGGGUGAUCGGCCACAUUGGAACUGAGACACGGUCCAAACUCCUACGGGAGGCAGCAGUAGGGAAUAUUGCACAAUGGAGGAAACUCUGAUGCAGCAAUGCCGCGUGAAGGAUGAAGGUCUUCGGAUCGUAAACUUCUGUCCUUAGGGAAGAUAAUGACGGUACCUUUGGAGGAAGCCCCGGCUAACUACGUGCCAGCAGCCGCGGUAAUACGUAGGGGGCAAGCGUUAUCCGGAAUUAUUGGGCGUAAAGAGUGCGUAGGUGGUUUCCUAAGCAUAGGGUGAAAGGCAUUGGCUUAACCAAUGUUAGCCCUUUGAACUGGGUUACUUGAGUGCAGAAGGGGAGAGUGGAAUUCCAUGUGUAGCGGUGAAAUGCGUAGAUAUAUGGAAGAACACCAGUGGCGAAGGCGGUUCACUAGCUCGAAACUGACGCUCAGUCCCGAAAGCGUGGGUAGCAAAUAGGAUUAGAUACCCUAGUAGUCCACGCCGUAAACGAUGAGAACUAAAUAUUGCCGCGAGGCAGUGUUGAAGCUAACGCAUUAAGUUCUCCGCCUGGGGAGUACGAUCGCAAGAUUGAAACUUAAAGGAAUUGACGGGGACCCGCACAAGCAGUGGAGCAUGUGGUUUAAUUCGACGCAACGCGAAGAACCUUACCAGGGCUUGACAUGGAGGCUAAAUACUUAGAGAUAAGGAAAUAUACGCCUCACACAGGUGGUGCAUGGUUGUCGUCAGCUCGUGUCGUGAGAUGUUGGGUUAAGUCCCGCAACGAGCGCAACCCCUAUCCUUAGUUGCCAUCAUUCAGUUGGGAACUCUAGGGAUACUGCCGAUGUAAGUCGGAGGAAGGUGGGGAUGACGUCAAAUCAUCAUGCCCUUUAUGUCCUGGGCGACACACGUGCUACAAUGGCGAUCAACAAAGGGAAGCAAAGCCGCGAGGUGGAGCAAAUCCCCAAAAGUCGUCUCAGUUCGGACUGCAGUCUGCAACUCGACUGCACGAAGUCGGAAUUGCUAGUAAUCGUGGAUCAGCAUGCCACGGUGAAUACGUUCCCGGGCCUUGCACUCACCGCCCGUCA
rnacentral:rRNA from 1 species